rnacentral:piRNA from 1 species
UGUAUCAGGGUAGCACUGACAUGAAGGAC